rnacentral:rRNA from 1 species
GUGUACGUACAAGCAGUGGGAGCACGCUUAGGCGUGUGACUGCGUACCUUUUGUAUAAUGGGUCAGCGACUUAUAUUCUGUAGCAAGGUUAACCGAAUAGGGGAGCCGAAGGGAAACCGAGUCUUAACUGGGCGUUAAGUUGCAGGGUAUAGACCCGAAACCCGGUGAUCUAGCCAUGGGCAGGUUGAAGGUUGGGUAACACUAACUGGAGGACCGAACCGACUAAUGUUGAAAAAUUAGCGGAUGACUUGUGGCUGGGGGUGAAAGGCCAAUCAAACCGGGAGAUAGCUGGUUCUCCCCGAAAGCUAUUUAGGUAGCGCCUCGUGAAUUCAUCUCCGGGGGUAGAGCACUGUUUCGGCAAGGGGGUCAUCCCGACUUACCAACCCGAUGCAAACUGCGAAUACCGGAGAAUGUUAUCACGGGAGACACACGGCGGGUGCUAACGUCCGUCGUGAAGAGGGAAACAACCCAGACCGCCAGCUAAGGUCCCAAAGUCAUGGUUAAGUGGGAAACGAUGUGGGAAGGCCCAGACAGCCAGGAUGUUGGCUUAGAAGCAGCCAUCAUUUAAAGAAAGCGUAAUAGCUCACUGGUCGAGUCGGCCUGCGCGGAAGAUGUAACGGGGCUAAACCAUGCACCGAAGCUGCGGCAGCGACACUGUGUGUUGUUGGGUAGGGGAGCGUUCUGUAAGCCUGCGAAGGUGUGCUGUGAGGCAUGCUGGAGGUAUCAGAAGUGCGAAUGCUGACAUAAGUAACGAUAAAGCGGGUGAAAAGCCCGCUCGCCGGAAGACCAAGGGUUCCUGUCCAACGUUAAUCGGGGCAGGGUGAGUCGACCCCUAAGGCGAGGCCGAAAGGCGUAGUCGAUGGGAAACAGGUUAAUAUUCCUGUACUUGGUGUUACUGCGAAGGGGGGACGGAGAAGGCUAUGUUGGCCGGGCGACGGUUGUCCCGGUUUAAGCGUGUAGGCUGGUUUUCCAGGCAAAUCCGGAAAAUCAAGGCUGAGGCGUGAUGACGAGGCACUACGGUGCUGAAGCAACAAAUGCCCUGCUUCCAGGAAAAGCCUCUAAGCAUCAGGUAACAUCAAAUCGUACCCCAAACCGACACAGGUGGUCAGGUAGAGAAUACCAAGGCGCUUGAGAGAACUCGGGUGAAGGAACUAGGCAAAAUGGUGCCGUAACUUCGGGAGAAGGCACGCUGAUAUGUAGGUGAAGUCCCUCGCGGAUGGAGCUGAAAUCAGUCGAAGAUACCAGCUGGCUGCAACUGUUUAUUAAAAACACAGCACUGUGCAAACACGAAAGUGGACGUAUACGGUGUGACGCCUGCCCGGUGCCGGAAGGUUAAUUGAUGGGGUCAGCGCAAGCGAAGCUCUUGAUCGAAGCCCCGGUAAACGGCGGCCGUAACUAUAACGGUCCUAAGGUAGCGAAAUUCCUUGUCGGGUAAGUUCCGACCUGCACGAAUGGCGUAAUGAUGGCCAGGCUGUCUCCACCCGAGACUCAGUGAAAUUGAACUCGCUGUGAAGAUGCAGUGUACCCGCGGCAAGACGGAAAGACCCCGUGAACCUUUACUAUAGCUUGACACUGAACAUUGAGCCUUGAUGUGUAGGAUAGGUGGGAGGCUUUGAAGUGUGGACGCCAGUCUGCAUGGAGCCGACCUUGAAAUACCACCCUUUAAUGUUU